UACGAAGGGGGCUAGCGUUGUUCGGAAUUACUGGGCGUAAAGCGCGCGUAGGCGGUUUUGCAAGCCAGAGGUGAAAUGCCUGAGCUCAACUCGGGAAUGGCCUUUGGGACUGCGAGGCUUUGAGGACUGGAGAGGUGAGUGGAAUUCCCAGUGUAGAGGUGAAAUUCGUAGAUAUUGGGAAGAACACCGGUGGCGAAGGCGGCUCACUGGCCAGUUUCUGACGCUGCAGCGCGGAAAGCGUGGGGAUCAAACAGG
rnacentral:rRNA from 1 species